CUCCUGGGCCAGCCGCCGGGCCUGGGAGCGCAGCCGCUGCUUCUCUGCCUCCAGUGCACCCACGUGUGCUGACAGAGCCAGCAGCACCUGCCCGGGGUGGGGGUCCCAAGUCGAGCAUCUCCAAGUCGGCCGCUGGGCCCUGUCCCGCCAGGGCCUCCGCCAGGUGCCCAGCCAGGCCAUGGUGCUCUGCCCGCAGUGCCUCCAGCCCCUGGACCACUUGCCUCGUCUGCCGCACCAGCUCCUCAGGGCUCAGGCGCUCUGGGCCCAGCCCCGCACUUCCGGGAGCCGCCACCUGCACAGACAUUGCUGCUCCUGGGGAGCAAUGAGACGGAGUAUCACCAUAUUGCCCAGGCUAGUCUAGGAUUCCUGGGUUCAAGCAAUCCCCCCCGCCUCAGCCUCC